rnacentral:rRNA from 1 species
AUUGAACGCUGGCGGCAGGCCUAACACAUGCAAGUCGAACGAGUGGCGGACGGGUGAGUAAUGUCUGGGAAACUGCCUGAUGGAGGGGGAUAACUACUGGAAACGGUAGCUAAUACCGCAUACCAUCGGAUGUGCCCAGAUGGGAUUAGCUAGUAGGUGGGGUAACGGCUGACCUAGGCGACGCUCCCUAGCUGGUCCGAGAGGGUGACCAGCCACACUGGGACGGAGACACGGUCCAGACUCCUACGGGAGGCAGCAGUGGGGAAUAUUGCACAAUGGGCGCAAGCCUGAUGCAGCCAUGCCGCGUGUAUGAAGAAGGCCUUCGGGUUGUAAAGUACUUUCAGUAGGGAGGCGUUACCCGCAGAAGAAGCACCGGCUAACUCCGUGCCAGCAGCCGCGGUAAUUC